rnacentral:sRNA from 1 species
AUGUACCACGGGUACACUCCGAUUUCUCCGCGCCGCCCGCACCCACCUGGCGACUGCUCGCUACGUUUUGUUAGCC